AGCUUCAGUAGCGUAUAUUAAAGUUGUUGCAGUUAAAAAGCUCGUAGUCGCAUUUCUGGCGAGCGGAUCCGGUCCGACCUUUUGGUGGGUUCUUGGGUCUCUUUCGCCAUCCUUGAGUGGUCCGUUCUGGCAUUAGGUUGUCGGAGCGUCAGCCGCUCAUCGUUUACUGUGAGAAAAUUAGAGUGUUCAAAGCAGGCUUAUGCCGUUGAAUAUAUUAGCAUGGAAUAAUAAGAUAGGACCUCGGUACUAUUUGGUUGGUUUGCGCACCAAGGUAAUGAUGAACAGGGACAGUUGGGGGUAUUUGUAUUUCGUUGUCAGAGGUGAAAUUCUUAGAUUUACGAAAGACAAACUACUGCGAAAGCAUUUACCAAGGAUGUUUUCA
rnacentral:rRNA from 1 species